ensembl:lncRNA
AAGAUCUGUGAGGGCAUGGACCUCCCAGAAUAUGCCUGACAUGGAUGGUCAUGGAUUUGUACAUAGAGAUGGCAUCCAUCAGGCUGACUACAACAAGAAGAGCCCUGCUGACUCACACUGGACAUAGAGCAGGAGCAGGAAUCAGGGACAGUGAGCUGCUUAAGGGUUGGGGCCUAUGCUGGACACCGUCUGAUGUACUGAUGUUGUGGCAUCCUCACAAGACAAGGGAAAUCAACCCCACUGUCCAGAUGAGGACACUUUCCCAGAGAGUGCCACUUGCUCCUUCAUAACUGAAGUGGUUGAACCAGAGGUGUGUGGACAGUUGACUUCCAAGCUGGCAAUAUGGGAGAGCUGCCUUACUCCGUAAAUAUUCAUCAUGCUGCGAAUAUUGACCAGGGUGCCCACCACGUGCUGGCCCUGUGAACACAGGUGUCCAUGUUCCUGCAAGAGCAAUAAAUCCACCUUUGAAUGUCCUUGUGCUUUUGCCAUCUCAUAGCAGAUUGACUGUAUGAGGAAGAUAGUUAUAUUUGAGACCUCUAAGAAAGCCUUUUGAUUGACACUGAUUAUUUAG